UGGGGAAUAUUGCACAAUGGGCGAAAGCCUGAUGCAGCAACGCCGCGUGAGUGAUGAAGGCCUUCGGGUUGUAAAGCUCUGUCUUUUGGGACGAUAAUGACGGUACCAAAGGAGGAAGCCACGGCUAACUACGUGCCAGCAGCCGCGGUAAUACGUAGGUGGCAAGCGUUGUCCGGAUUUACUGGGCGUAAAGGAUGCGUAGGCGGAUUUUUAAGUGAGAUGUGAAAACCCUAAGCUUAACUUGGGGACUGCAUUUCAUACUGGAAAUCUAGAGUGCGGGAGAGGAGAAUGGAAUUCCUAGUGUAGCGGUGAAAUGCGUAGAGAUUAGGAAGAACACCAGUGGCGAAGGCGAUUCUCUGGACCGUAACUGACGCUGAGGCAUGAAAAGCGUGGGUAGCAAAACAGGAUUAGAUACCCUGGUAGUCCACGCCGUAAACGAUGAGUACUAGGUGUAGGAGGUAUCGACCCCUUCUGUGCCGCAGUUAACACAAUAAGUACUCCGCCUGGGAAGUACGAUCGCAAGAUUAAAAACUCAAAGGAAUUGACGGGGUCAUAGCUGUUUCCU
rnacentral:rRNA from 1 species